rnacentral:rRNA from 1 species
CCUACGGGUGGCAGCAGUGAGGAAUAUUGGUCAAUGGACGCAACCCUGAACCAGCCAAGUAGCGUGCAGGAUGACGGCCCUAUGGGUUGUAAACUGCUUUUAUGCGGGGAUAAACCGAGUUACGUGUAGCUUAUUGCAUGUACCGCAUGAAUAAGGACCGGCUAAUUCCGUGCCAGCAGCCGCGGUAAUACGGAAGGUCCGGGCGUUAUCCGGAUUUAUUGGGUUUAAAGGGAGCGCAGGCCGCCUCUUAAGCGUGCUGUGAAAUGUCCGGGCUCAACCCGGGCACUGCAGCGCGAACUGGGGGGCUUGAGUGCGCGGGAGGUAGGCGGAAUUCGUGGUGUAGCGGUGAAAUGCUUAGAUAUGACGAAGAACUCCGAUUGCGAAGGCAGCCUACCGUAGCGGAACUGACGCUGAGGCUCGAAGGUGCGGGUAUCGAACAGGAUUAGAUACCCGAGUAGUC